rnacentral:misc_RNA from 1 species
UCUCCGUUGGUGAACCAGCGGAGGGAUCAUUACAGAGUUUUUAACUCCCAAACCCAUGUGAACUUACCAUUGUUUACUCGGCAGAAGCUGCUCGGUGCACCCUACCUUGGAACGGCAUACCCUGUAGCGCCUUACCCUGGACCGGCUUACCCUGUAGCGCCCCGCCGGUGGAUUUUCAAACUCUUGUUAUUUUUAGUAAUCUGUGCGUCUUAUUUUAAAUAAGUCAAAACUUUCAACAACGGAUCUCUUGGUUCUGGCAUCGAUGAAGAACGCAGC